UAUAAAAUCUAAAUCCGUGACCAAAUGUCACGCUUAUCAAGUGAUGUCUGGGAUAAACCGUAAUAGAAAAGCCCUUCUUCACUAAGAAAUUCACCGCAUGCGAGCUCAACUACACUGCAUUAGAGAAGACUUAAGAGUUGAGGGAUCCUCCUAACAGUUAAAGUUGUCGAAAACCGGAAAGAGAAAGACCUAUUACUACAUGUUGGCGAAGGCGACCAAGCUACGCAACCAGGAUCGGAAGCCUUUUAGUACAUUUACUCCCAUUCCUGGGCUUGAUACUAGCCAAGCACGUUUCUUUGACAUCCCGAAUAAUAUGCACUCAUGGUUAACUAAGCUACCUCCAAUGGACAAAUAAUACUUUAUUUUAUUCUUUCAAUGAUGAAGGGUUUAUAUCUAAUUUUUAUUUAACUAGAUACUUUCAUAGAAUAUGAGUAAAUUUAUUGACAUAAACAUAUUAAUAUAUUUUCUUCUUUCGAAUUAUUUUGUUAUUGAAUGAUGUUAGAAUAAG
rnacentral:lncRNA from 1 species